rnacentral:rRNA from 1 species
AUUAGAUACCCUGGUAGUCCGCACGGUAAACGAUGGAUGCCCGCCGUUGGGUAUUUUUAUUCAGCGGCCAAGCGAAAGCGUUAAGCAUCCCACCUGGGGAGUACGCCGGCAACGGUGAAACUCAAAGGAAUUGACGGGGGCCCGCACAAGCGGAGGAACAUGUGGUUUAAUUCGAUGAUACGCGAGGAACCUUACCCGGGCUUGAAUUGCAGAUGACGGAUCCAGAGAUGGUGACUUCCUUCGGGACAUCUGUGAAGGUGCUGCAUGGUUGUCGUCAGCUCGUGCCGUGAGGUGUCGGCUUAAGUGCCAUAACGAGCGCAACCCCUUUCGUCAGUUGCCAUCGGGUAAUGCCGGGCACUCUGGCGACACUGCCGCCGCAAGGUGUGAGGAAGGUGGGGAUGACGUCAAAUCAGCACGGCCCUUACGUCCGGGGCUACACACGUGUUACAAUGGGGCAUACAGAGAGUUGGUCAUGCGCAAGCAUGAUCGGAUCAUGAAAGUGUCCCUCAGUUCGGACUGGGGUCUGCAACCCGACCCCACGAAGCUGGAUUCGCUAGUAAUCGCGCAUCAGCCAUGGCGCGGUGAAUACGUUCCCGGGCCUUGUACACACCGCCCGUCAAGCCAUGAAAGCCGGGGGCGCCUGAAGUCCGUGACCGCGAGAGGCGGCCUAGGGUGAAACCGGUGAUUGGGGCUAAGUCGUAACAAGGUACC